CUCUCUCUCUCUCUCUCUCUCUCUCUAGCAAAGCAGAGUUGAACCCAGCUAAGGAGAAACGAUGGUAUUUUACUCUCCUGAUCAUGUCCUUCUUUUUUCUUUUCCUGCUCAAGGCCAUGUAAACCCUUUGCUUAGACUUGGAAAGCGUCUUGCGUCUAAGGGCAUGCUUGUCACCUUCUCUACAACUGAAGGCGUCGGAAAACAUAUGAGGAACGCCAACGACAUCACCGAUGAGCCUGUACCUCUUGGUGAUGGGUUUAUCAGGUUCGAAUUCUUUGAAGAUGGAUGGGAAGAAAACGAUCCUAGACGCCAAGACCUUGACCAAUUCUUAUCUCAACUUGAG
rnacentral:misc_RNA from 1 species